AGUGAACGCUGGCGGUAGGCCUAGCACAUGCAAGUCGAACGGCAGCACAGUAAGAGCUUGCUCUUACGGGUGGCGAGUGGCGGACGGGUGAGGAAUACAUCGGAAUCUACUUUUUCGUGGGGGAUAACGUAGGGAAACUUACGCUAAUACCGCAUACGACCUACGGGUGAAAGCGGGGGAUCUUCGGACCUUGCGCGAUUGAAUGAGCCGAUGUCGGAUUAGCUAGUUGGCGGGGUAAAGGCCCACCAAGGCGACGAUCCGUAGCUGGUCUGAGAGGAUGAUCAGCCACACUGGAACUGAGACACGGUCCAGACUCCUACGGGAGGCAGCAGUGGGGAAUAUUGGACAAUGGGCGCAAGCCUGAUCCAGCCAUACCGCGUGGGUGAAGAAGGCCUUCGGGUUGUAAAGCCCUUUUGUUGGGAAAGAAAAGCAGCAGGUUAAUACCCCGCUGUUCUGACGGUACCCAAAGAAUAAGCACCGGCUAACUUCGU
rnacentral:rRNA from 1 species